GGGGAUUUAGCUCAGCGGCAUAAGCACCUGCCUUGCAAGCAGGCAGUCCUCA
rnacentral:tRNA from 1 species